rnacentral:rRNA from 1 species
UCAGUCGACUCCUACGGGAGGCAGCAGUGGGGAAUCUUAGACAAUGGGCGCAAGCCUGAUCUAGCCAUGCCGCGUGAGUGAUGAAGGCCUUAGGGUCGUAAAGCUCUUUCGCCAGGGAUGAUAAUGACAGUACCUGGUAAAGAAACCCCGGCUAACUCCGUGCCAGCAGCCGCGGUAAUACGGAGGGGUUAGCGUUGUUCGGAAUUACUGGGCGUAAAGCGCGCGUAGGCGGAUUAGUCAGUUAGAGGUGAAAUCCCAGGGCUCAACCCUGGAACUGCCUUUAAUACUGCUAGUCUUGAGUUCGAGAGAGGUGAGUGGAAUUCCGAGUGUAGAGGUGAAAUUCGUAGAUAUUCGGAGGAACACCAGUGGCGAAGGCGGCUCACUGGCUCGAUACUGACGCUGAGGUGCGAAAGUGUGGGGAGCAAACAGGAUUAGAUACCCUGGUAG